rnacentral:rRNA from 1 species
CAGUAGCCGCGGUAAUACGAAGGGUGCAAGCGUUAAUCGGAAUUACUGGGCGUAAAGCGUGCGUAGGUGGUGGUUUAAGUCCGUUGUGAAAGCCCUGGGCUCAACCUGGGAAUUGCAGUGGAUACUGGGUCACUAGAGUGUGGUAGAGGAUAGUGGAAUUUCCGGUGUAGCAGUGAAAUGCGUAGGGAUCGGAAGGAACAUCUGUGGCGAAGGCGGCUAUCUGGGCCAACACUGACACUGAGGCACGAAAGCGUGGGGAGCAAACAGGAUUAGAGACCCGCGUAGUCCCUGUCUCUUAUAC